GAGCGGGGACGUCAACAAUUUUGCUGCCACUGGAGGAGGCAAGGGUCACGGGUAGGUCUCGAAAAAGAAGCGCGCCGCGGCCACCUGCGCGUCGUCGGACCGCACGAUCGCAUAGGGCACGUCGGACGGCACGCGACCGUCCAAGAGGGCGUGUGCGCCCAGCGCGUCCAUGCGCUCGGCGUGCCGCUGCGCCUCGGGUCCCCAGCCGCAGUGGCCGCUGCGCACAUAGUCGGCAAAGAGGCGCGCGUGGUCGUCGGGCUCGUCGCCGGGCUCGUCGAGCGGCCACAGCGCGAUGGCGUCAAUAUCCAAGGCCUGUGCCCACGAGCGGCACUCGAUGCGACGUGCGGCAAACCGCAGGUCCGGACAGUCGGGCGAGCACCAAAAGAGAGCGGCCUUGGCGUGCGCCGUGUGGAGCAUGUGGAGUUGGUCGCCGUUGGCGUAGCGCACCGUGAGGGCGGCCGACGUGUGGCGCCGUGUGCCGCGUGCCUCGGCCGGGCGUGGCGGUCGUUGCGGAUCAUUGUGCGGUCGCGGCGCGGCGACGCAGCGCACGAUAAUCUCCCGGACACGUCCGUCGUCGGGGCGUAGGGUCGUCGACAAUGUGGUACCAUCGCGCGACACAGACUCCCACCGGCGCCCGGCCAUGUCGGUCACGAUGCCCUGCCCGUGGGCGAGACCGCGACGGCAUGCGCCCUUGUACAGCGUGCGGCCGGCGCGGGUGAUGAUGCGGCCGUGUGUCGGGGCCUUGGCGUCGGCGGUGGCCAGUGCGUCGGCUACCGCCGCGGGAUCGGUGACAAAGCGCGUGUUGGAAUCGCCGCGUGCGAGCACAGUCUUUGGUUGCAGGGUCUCGUCGGUGCGUGUCCAUAUCGCCUCGACCCAGCCUACCAGUCGGCCUGCAGUGUCGCGCCUGAUCUCGACCAUAUAGUCGGCGUGGACAGCACCGGGCGGCGACAUGUAGCGCAUGGUUGACUCGCCUGGUGGCGAGGGCAGUGGCAAUGACCCCAAUGACUCUAGGGAUUCCAAUGGUUCCAACGACGGUGAUUCAGGCGUCGACCGAUGGUGAAUCCAGUGGACGAGACAGAGCCAGCGCCAGUCGCGGCCGACAACGUCCAUGUGGGCAAAAGGGAGCGGAGGUGCGCCCGUGUGUGGCGCUCCACCGGUAGGCUCAUCGUAGUGGGCCAACGCGCCAGCGGCAUUACCCCGAUAGAGGGCGGGUGCAUAGAGCCGCUCAAAGACGCCAUGCCACAGGGGCUGGUCGGCGGCGAUCUCGGCGAGGCGGCGGCACGUUGCGCCCACAUGCACCAGAUCAACGGGGUCGAGCCACAGACCGACGGCAACGAGCAGUUCAGCCGGGAGCGAGGCCAGAGUGGGCGGCGGGGGCGCGCGGCCCGUGCGUCGUCUCUGGUAGGGUCGCGUCACAGCGUCCACGGGGUCACCCGUCGGGCGACGCUUGCGCGUUGCUUCUCUCAACACGCCUCGUGGUCCUGUCGUGACUCUGUCCAUUUGAGACCUGACGAUGGUGGCAUUGGCGACGACCGUCGUCGGACCGGUUUGCAUGGCCGUAUGCGUUGUUGUUGUCAAAGGAAAAAAACAAAUAGAAAAAAAUAGGAAAAAAGAGGAC
rnacentral:lncRNA from 1 species